CGAACGUUAGUAAAAUAAUUGAAAAAUAUUUACAUUACAUUCAAUAUUAAUAGCUAAACGAUUUAGAUUCAUUCAAAUAUGAAAGGGUGUUCCCAUUUCACUAUCAAAAUAUAUUCAAUUCUACUUAUAUUUUUUUUUAACUGAAAAAUUUAAUAUAUUUUAAGUUGAUUCAAACAUGAGAGAAUUUAGAGACAUAAUACCAUUUUUAUUUUGUAUACUUACAUUACACGCAGCCCAGUAGAAAAGACCAGAAACGUGAGUUGCUUCGGAACUAAGAAACCUAUAACUAAAAUAAUGCACCUUUCAGCAAAGUAGGUCAAAUGUGAUCUAUGUUCGUUGUACAAUAAAGUUACAUGCAUCUUUGUGC
rnacentral:lncRNA from 1 species